UACAGUAUGUUCAUCUUUCUUCUCCACAGGGGGGAAGAUUACCGGCUGGACACUCGAGCCUAGCGAUGAAGAGACAGGGAAACAUGUCAGCCCUUCACAUCAAUGUCUAGGCUUUGGAAUGAUACCUGUAGGACUUGAAUCGCACGUUUGCUAGCGCACUAGCAAUUACUGUCUGAAAUGAGCGACUGAGUCCGGGUACCAGGUGGACUAGGAUGGCGUCAUGUCGUUCGAAUUUUGUGGAAACUGAGCCUUCUGUCGUCGAGCCAAUGUAGGAUACGAUCAAUUGUGUGUAGGAGAACGUAUCAAGUCAAAGCUGUGGUUGUAGCAUUUUUCUGCUUUGCUCAUGGAGCUGAUUAUUGAUAUCAGACAAGGUAGUUUGACCUUCUACUUAUCUUAUUUGAGUUUGUACGCUCUCAUUUUAUACCUUAUUGUCGCCACCUCUGUUAGCUGUGAAGACAGUUACAUUUAAGUGAAUGACUGGUGUAAUAGUGGUGAAGAUAUUCGUAUUUUGACUGGACUUGAGUUGCUUUUUGCUCCUCGCGCAAGAUCACUUACCAUGCUGGUCCAACGUGUUCAGGCUUAAAUAAAAAUUCUAUCAAAGUGCUUGGCGAUUUCUUUGCCAACCCCAGAAGAUCCUCAAGACUUGGCGGAAGGGUACAAGAAAGAGAGAGACAAGAAAACACAUCAGACGUAUGCAGCAAUAUAUAAGUCUUGAAACUGUACUUGGAACCAUACAAGUUACAGCAGUUGUUAAAUAGAACGAUUAUUGAUAAUACUACAGAAAUGUUGUAAUAACCCACUGUGAUCUUCGCACGUCAACUCUUCACUUAUUUUUACGUCUCCUGCGGUCUGU